rnacentral:tRNA from 1 species
GCUCUGUGGCACAAUGGAUAGCGCAUUGGACUUCUA